rnacentral:rRNA from 1 species
AGCAGCCGCGGUAAUUCCAGCUCCAAUAGCGUAUAUUAAAGUUGUUGCAGUUAAAAAGCUCGUAGUUGAAUUUCGGGAUCAAUACGUCGGUCGUGCCUUCGGUACGUACUGGCGUCAUUGGUUUCUCCCUUCUGACGAAACAUGAUGUCAUUAAUUUGGUGUCGUGGAGAAUCAGGACUGUUACCUUGAAAAAAUUAGAGUGUUUAUAGCAGGCUAACGCUUGAAUACAUUAGCAUGGAAUAAUGAAAUAGGACGUUCGACCCUAUUUUGUUGGUUUCUAGGAUCGACGUAAUGAUUAAUAGGGAUAGUUGGGGGCAUUAGUAUUCAAUUGUCAGAGGUGAAAUUCUUGGAUUUAUUGAAGACUAACUACUGCGAAAGCAUUUGCCAAGGAUGUUUUCAUUAAUCAAGAACGAAAGUUAGGGGAUCGAAGACGAUCAGAUUCCGUCGUAGUCUUAACCAUAAACUAUGCCGACUAGGGAUCGGAUGAUGUUAAUUUUUAAUGACUCAUUCGGCGCCUUAC